rnacentral:rRNA from 1 species
CUACGGGGCGCAGCAGUGGGGAAUUUUGCGCAAUGGGGGAAACCCUGACGCAGCAAUACCGCGUGAGUGAAGAAGGCCUUUGGGUCGUAAAGCUCUUUUCUUGGGGAAGAUAGUGACGGUACCCAAGGAAUAAGCACCGGCUAACUCCGUGCCAGCAGCCGCGGUAAUACGGAGGGUGCAAGCGUUGUUCGGAUUUACUGGGCGUAAAGGGCACGUAGGCGGCACAGCAAGUUAAGGGUGAAAUCCCGGGGCUCAACUCCGGAACUGCUCUUAAAACUGCUGAGCUAGAGAUAGUCAGAGGCGGGUGGAAUUCCAGGUGUAGAGGUGAAAUUCGUAGAUAUCUGGAGGAACACCGGUGGCUAAGGCGGCCCGCUGGGGCUAUUCUAACGCUAAGGUGCGAAAGCGUGGGGAGCAAACGGGAUUAGAUACCCUAGUAGUC